rnacentral:tRNA from 1 species
GCUUCCUUAGCUCAGGGGUAGAGCGGCGUCCUGAAAAGGCGCGCGUCGGUGGUUCGAUUCCAUCAGGAGGCACCA